rnacentral:rRNA from 1 species
CGCCGGAAGACCAAGGGUUCCUGUCCAACGUUAAUCGGGGCAGGGUGAGUCGACCCCUAAGGCGAGGCCGAAAGGCGUAGUCGAUGGGAAACAGGUUAAUAUUCCUGUACUUGGUGUUACUGCGAAGGGGGGACGGAGAGGGCUAUGUUAGCCGGGCGACGGUUGUCCCGGUUUAAGCAUGUAGGCGGGAAGUUUAGGUAAAUCCGGACUUCUGUUAACGCUGAGGUGUGAUGACGAGGCACUACGGUGCUGAAGUAACAAAUGCCGCACUUCCAGGAAAAGCCUCUAAGCAUCAGGUAACAUCAAAUCGUACCCCAAACCGACACAGGUGGUCAGGU